rnacentral:tRNA from 1 species
GCGCACUUAGCUCAAAUGGUAAGAGCAUCACUCUGGAAAGUUGAGGUUGUGGGUUUGAUUCCCAUAGUGCACA